rnacentral:rRNA from 1 species
UUUGCCUUUUAAUUGGAGGCUAGUAUGAACGGACACACGAGGGUGAUUCUGUCUCUAUGUUAUUUAUAAAAAUUAAUCCUUAGGUGAAAAAGCCUAAAUUCUAUAAGAAGACGAAAAGACCCUGUGGAGCUUUAUUUCAAUACAAUCUCCUUUUUUACCUACCAAAAGAAACAAAAAAACUGUAUAAAAUUUAGUUGGGGCGACUAAGGAACAAAUUAAACCUUCCUUCUAAAAAAGAAAAUAAAUCCCUCACAGAUCCAUUUUUCAUGAAUAAAAAAUCAGCUACCCCAGGGAUAACAGGCUAAUCUUCUUCGAGAGUCCAAAUUGACAAGAAGGCUUGGCACCUCGAUGUUGGCUUAAGAUCUCUAUAAAGUGCAGCAGCUUUAAUAGUGGGUUUGUUCAACCCUUAAAAUCU